rnacentral:rRNA from 1 species
GACGAACGCUGGCGGCGUGCCUAAUACAUGCAAGUCGAACGCAGUGGGGACGGGUGAGUAACACGUGGGUAACCUCCCAUCAGAGGGGAUAAAACUUGGAAACAGGUGCUAAACCGAUACUGAUGGAUGAACACGCGGUGCAUUAGCUAGUUGGUGAGGUAACGGAUCACCAAGGACACGAUGCAUAGCCUACCGUGGAGGGUGAUCGGCCCCACUGUGACUGAGACACGUCCCAUACUCCUAAGGGAGGCAGCAGUAGGAAAUCUUCGGCAAUGGACGAAAGUCUGACCGAGAAACGCCGCGUGAGUGAAGAAGGUUUUCGGAUCGUAAAACUCUGUUGUUAGAGAAGCGGUAUCUAACCAGAAAGCCACGGCUAACUACGUGCCAGCAGCCGCGGUAAUUC